rnacentral:misc_RNA from 1 species
GUGGCAUUAUACUUCAAUCAUUCUAACUGACAUAACCAUUUGUGGAGAGGGGAAAAAAACAUAGCAUCAACUCAACAGCAAAUUUACUUCUUUUAGGUUUUAAGGUAAAGUUAAGUACUAGUAGUCAAGAUGAGCAAGGGAUGGGGUUAGUACAUGGAUCUUCCAGGCAUAAAUGAGGAAAAAAUAACAGAACGCAAAGCCUAAAGCUAGAAAAGACAGACACAAGUAUCUCUUCAGACACCAAUAAAAUAUUUUACAGUGGACAUAAAACAUGGGCUCCAAAAGGAAACCAUGGGAUGGAACAUAUUACUUCCAGAGCUUAACAAACUUGUCAUGACUAGCUGAAGCAACCAAACCUGCGACUCCCGAUACAGCCAAGGAAGCAAU